UGAAAAGUAGUCAACUAUUUGGCUACUUUUAGUCAAAAUGUAGUUCGCUAUAACUACAACUACUGUUUUAAAAAAGUAGUCAAAAACUACAGGCUACUUGAAAAUUGUAGUUCGCUACAGUAGCGAACUACAACUACUUCGCUACUACCCACCCUUGUUUUAUAUUUACACCUGGGGUUGGUACCGAAGAGAUAUGGGUUGGGUAAUCAAGUUUUUGACUAGUUCAUGGGUUGGGUAAAAAAAUUUAUGGCUGUCUGUCAGCUAUAAAAUAAAACUAAACCAUGUAUUGGAAAAUAUGAAGAAAAAUGUGCACAAUACAUUCUGUACCAAAAUAGACCAUCAGUGAUUGAGGGAGGACUCUAUUAUUGAUCAGCAGGAACGUGGUUCCCUUGGCACACUCAGUGAG